rnacentral:rRNA from 1 species
CCUACGGGAGGCAGCAGUGGGGAAUAUUGGACAAUGGGGGCAACCCUGAUCCAGCCAUGCCGCGUGUGUGAAGAAGUCCCUCGGGUUGUAAAGCACUUUCAGUGAGGAAGAACGCCUGGUGGUUAAUACCCAUCAGGAAAGACAUCACUCACAGAAGAAGCACCGGCUAACUCCGUGCCAGCAGCCGCGGUAAUACGGAGGGUGCGAGCGUUAAUCGGAAUUACUGGGCGUAAAGCGCGCGUAGGUGGCUUGAUAAGCCGGUUGUGAAAGCCCCGGGCUCAACCUGGGAACGGCAUCCGGAACUGUCAAGCUAGAGUGCAGGAGAGGAAGGUAGAAUUCCCGGUGUAGCGGUGAAAUGCGUAGAGAUCGGGAGGAAUACCAGUGGCGAAGGCGGCCUUCUGGACUGACACUGACACUGAGGUGCGAAAGCGUGGGUAGCAAACAGGAUUAGAUACCCCGGUAGUC